GAUGAACGCUGGCGGCGUGCCUAAUACAUGCAAGUCGAGCGAACGGACGAGAAGCUUGCUUCUCUGAUGUUAGCGGCGGACGGGUGAGUAACACGUGGAUAACCUACCUAUAAGACUGGGAUAACUUCGGGAAACCGUAGCUAAUACCGGAUAAUAUCUUGAACCGCAUGGUUCAAAAGUGAAAGACGGUCUUGCUGUCACUUAUAGAUGGAUCCGCGCUGCAUUAGCUAGUUGGUAAGGUAACGGCUUACCAAGGCAACGAUGCAUAGCCGACCUGAGAGGGUGAUCGGCCACACUGGAACUGAGACACGGUCCAGACUCCUACGGGAGGCAGCAGUAGGGAAUCUUCCGCAAUGGGCGAAAGCCUGACGGAGCAACGCCGCGUGAGUGAUGAAGGUCUUCGGAUCGUAAAACUCUGUUAUUAGGGAAGAACAUAUGUGUAAGUAACUGUGCACAUCUUGACGGUACCUAAUCAGAAAGCCACGGCUAACUACGUG
rnacentral:rRNA from 1 species